rnacentral:tRNA from 1 species
GUCUCUGUAGCGCAAUGAAUAGCGCGUUGGACUUCUCAUCCAAAGCUCGUAGAUUCGAAUCCUAUCUGAAAUG